AUUGAACGCUGGCGGAAUGCUUUACACAUGCAAGUCGAACGGUGAAGUCUAGCUUGCUAGACGGAUUAGUGGCGAACGGGUGAGUAAUAUAUCGGAACGUAUACAUUAAUGGGGGAUAACUAGUCGAAAGAUUGGCUAAUAACGCAUACGUCCUACGGGCGAAAGCGGGGGAUGGUAAGACCUGGCGUUAAUGGAGCGGCCGAUAGCUGAUUAGCUAGUUGGCGGGGUAAAGGCUCACCAAGGGGACGAUCAAUAGCUGGUCUGAGAGGACGACCAGCCACACUGGAACUGAGACACGGUCCAGACUCCUACGGGAGGCAGCAGUGGGGAAUUUUGGACAAUGGGCGAAAGCCUGAUCCAGCCAUUCCGCGUGAGUGAAGAAGGCCUUCGGGUUGUAAAGCUCUUUCGCAAGGGAAGAAAACUUAUCCUCUAACAUAGGGUGAGGUUGACGGUACCUUGAUAAGAAGCACCGGCUAACUACGUGCCAGCCGCCGCAGUAACAC
rnacentral:rRNA from 1 species